AGAGACAGCAGUAGCCGCGGGAAUACGUAGGUCCCGAGCGUUGUCCGGAUUUAUUGGGCGUAAAGCGAGCGCAGGCGGUUAGAUAAGUCUGAAGUUAAAGGCUGUGGCUUAACCAUAGUACGCUUUGGAAACUGUUUAACUUGAGUGCAAGAGGGGAGAGUGGAAUUCCAUGUGUAGCGGUGAAAUGCGUAGAUAUAUGGAGGAACACCGGUGGCGAAAGCACUCUGCUGGGCCGACGUUGACACUGAGAGACAAACGCUAGGGGAGAAAAUGGGAUUAGAUACCCGCGUAGUCCCUGUCUCUUAUACA
rnacentral:rRNA from 1 species